UGAUCUCUCCCUUUGUCUCAAAAAAAAGAAGGACAGAUCUCUCCCUGUUCCGCUUCCUCCUCCGCCGUGUCGAGCAAACCACGGCGAUGGACGAAACCCUCGCCACCGUCCUCUCCUACCUCCCGCCUCCCUCGGUCUCCACCACCGCAUCCCCGUCCUCCUCGUCCACCGCCUCCGAUGACGAUGACCGCAUCAACUGCCUCCCGGACGUGCUCCUCCGCAACAUCAUCUCCCGCCUCCCCACCAAGGACGCGGCCCGCACCACCAUCCUCUCCUCCCGCUGGCGCAGCCUCUGGGCUUCCACCCCACUCCGGCUCGACGACGCUGGAAUCGUUCCUACCGCCGUCACCGCCGCGCUGAACUCCCACCCGGGCCCGGUCACUUCCGCCCGCCUCUCCUCCGAGCACCUCGCUUACCAGGAACCCGACGUCCUCGACUCCUGGUUCGCCUCCCUCGCAGCCAAGAACGUCGAGGAACUCUCCGUCGUCAACGGAUCCUGGCCCGCUGAAUGUGAGUGGCGUCCUCCCCCCGGCCUCCUUGGAUGCGCGUCCCUCCGCCGCCUCUGGCUCGGGCUCUGCCAGUUCCCGGACAUUUCCGGCCUCGCUUCGGCCUUCCCCAGCCUGCAAGAGCUCGGGAUUGUCCAUUGCUCCAUGCAGGACCGCGAGCUCCACGCUGUGCUCCCGCGCUGCCCCGAGCUUGAGAGGCUCGCUUUCGUGCUGACACAGGACUACCCAAGGUACAUCCACAUCUGGUCAGGGAGCCUCCAGUCCCUGGUUGUGUGGAGGUCCAUGGUCAGAGAGGUGCACCUUGACGAUGCCCCAAACUUGGAGCGGUUGCUGUUGGAGCCGAUUGGCGGUGCCUCUACUCACGUCAAGAUUAUUAAUGCACCGAGGCUGAAAAUUUUCGGGUACUUUGACGUUGGACUGCAUCAGCUCAAGAUCGGCCCCACUGUGAUCAAGGAUGGGAUAGGGAUGAAGGUGAAGCCAAAUGCGAUGGUUCGGACCCUCAGGACAUUGGCAUUGAAGGUGCAGUUUGGAGAUGAGAAGCAAGUCAAGCUGGUGCCCCUCUUGCUUAGAUGCUUCCCAUGCCUAGAAACCUUGUAUAUCAAGUCAUCUCCUUCUGAAUCACCAACCAAUGUUGAUGUGGACUUCUGGGAUCAAGUAGGCCACACUGAAUGUGUUACCUCACAUAUUAAGAAGUUUGUGUUCGAAGCUGCCCGAGGAGAGGAUACCGAGCUGGCAUUUGUCAAGUUUGUCAUGGAAAGAGCCCAAAUGUUGGAGGUGAUGCGUGUUUUCGUGGAUGAUGGUUGCUCUAGAGACGUUGUGCUAAGUCGUUUAUCUUCAGAAGGAUGUGUGUCUGCAGAUGCUAGCGUGGUGGUGGAGAGGCAAGACAUGUCCCAUGCCUGGAGCUUCGAAAGAGCUAGCAACAUGUCACAGUGUGACCCCUUUGGUUGCUAAAGUUGGAGGUUUAGUAGCAAGCAAACUGGAUCCGGACACCUAGAGGGGAGACCGACAAAGUCUUGACCACCCAUCCGCCGCAUUCCCAGGAUAACAAAGAAGUGACAAGAUCACGUCUCUUCAAGCCUUACCCAGAUGGAAUGAAAAAAGAGAUGGGUCCUGAAGCAAGUCAAGGCAUAGGUCCUGAAGCAAGUUGUAGUCUUUUGUCUUCCAUACCUUGUUCAGUGCAAGCUUUGAAACUUUGAUUUUGCUUGUGUUAGACGUGCAUUUUGUGCUUUGUGGACCUGAACAUGGCUGUUAUAAUUGAAUAUGAUUAUGUGGAUUUGUGCUUUAUGGAGCUGCAACUGGUUUCAACUUGUUAAA